UCCAGCGCAGCGGCUGCUACCUGAGUGGCGUCGGUGGCUUGGGGAGCCGGCCGCCAUGGCGGCGGAGGCCCUGGCGGCCGAGGCCGUGGCUUCACGCCUGGAGCGGCAGGAGGAGGACAUCCGCUGGCUGUGGGCGGAGGUCCAGCGCCUGAGGGACGAGCAACUGAACGCGCCCGACCGCGGCCAGGCCGAGGGGCCGUGCCUGACGCGGGAGGUGGCGCAGCUCCGGGCGGAGAACCGCGACCUGCGCCACCGCCUCUACCGCCUGCGGCUGUGCCUCGCCGAGGAGCUGAGACAGCAGGCGCCGCUGGAGAGCGCGGCGCGGGCGGCGGCGGCGCAGGAGGAGGCCCGGCGCGCGGCUGCCGGCGCGCAGCCUCCUUCCAGUCAAACCCAAGAAAAGAACACUAAAGCAAAGGAGGAUCGCAGGCCUGAGAGCAAGGUGACAGAUCAACCAGAUUUUGUGAAGGAAAGAUUGAAGCUGUUUGAAAUAUUGAAGCAAGACCAUCAGCUCUUAUUUGUCAUUGCUGACGAAAAGGGGAAUACAAGCAAUGUGAUCACAGUGAGAGUGGCUGGUGGGAAAACCGUGGAAGGGGAAGUCUGGAAAACAACACCUUAUCAAGUGGCUGCUGAAAUUAGUCCAGAGCUGGCUGAAAGCACGGUUGUAGCCAAAGUAAAUGGUGAAUUAUGGGACUUGGACCGUCCAUUGGAAGGGGAUUCCACUCUAGAGCUGCUUACGUUUGAUAAUGAGGAAGCUCAAGCUGUGUACUGGCACUCCAGUGCUCACAUCCUUGGGGAGGCCAUGGAGCUUUACUACGGAGGCCACCUGUGCUAUGGUCCACCCAUUGAAAAUGGAUUUUAUUAUGACAUGUUCAUUGGAGACAGAGCAGUGUCCAGCACAGAACUGUCAGCCCUGGAGAGCAUCUGUAAGACUAUCAUAAAAGAAAAGCAACCUUUCGAAAGACUGGAAGUCAGCAAGGAAGUGCUCCUCGAAAUGUUUAAGUACAAUGAAUUCAAAUGCCGCAUCCUGAAUGAGAAAAUUAACACUCCAACUACGACGGUUUACAGGUGCGGUCCGCUAAUUGACCUUUGCAAAGGCCCCCAUGUAAGACACACUGGAAAAAUUAAAACCAUAAAAAUUUUCAAGAAUUCCUCAACGUAUUGGGAGGGCAAUCCCGAAAUGGAAACACUGCAGAGGGUCUAUGGGAUAUCCUUCCCUGAUAACAAGAUGAUGAAGACCUGGGAAAAGUUCCAAGAGGAAGCCAAGAACCGAGAUCACAGGAAGAUUGGAAAGGAACAAGAACUAUUCUUUUUCCAUGAUCUGAGUCCUGGAAGCUGCUUUUUUCUUCCCAGAGGAGCCUUCAUUUAUAAUACACUUAUGGAUUUCAUACGAGAGGAAUAUCACCAACAUAACUUCACAGAAGUGCUCUCUCCCAACAUGUACAACAGCAGACUCUGGGAAACCUCAGGUCAUUGGCAGCAUUAUAGUGAGAACAUGUUUACCUUUGAUAUUGAAAAGGACACGUUCGCCCUUAAGCCCAUGAACUGUCCAGGGCACUGUCUAAUGUUUGCUCAUCGUCCACGAUCAUGGAGGGAAAUGCCUAUCAGAUUCGCUGAUUUUGGAGUUCUUCAUAGGAAUGAAUUAUCAGGAACUUUAAGUGGUUUGACUCGAGUUAGGCGCUUCCAGCAGGAUGAUGCCCAUAUCUUCUGCACAGUAGAGCAGAUUGAAGAAGAAAUAAACGGCUGUUUGCAGUUUUUGCAAUCUGUUUACUCAACAUUUGGCUUCUCCUUUCAAUUAAAUUUGUCAACAAGACCUGAAAACUUCCUAGGAGAGGUUGAGCUAUGGGAUGAAGCUGAAAAGCAACUACAGAACAGCUUGGUGGAAUUUGGAAAACCAUGGAAGAUGAACCCAGGAGAUGGAGCAUUUUAUGGCCCUAAAAUUGAUAUAAAAAUCAAGGAUGCUAUUGGCCGAUACCAUCAAUGUGCUACAAUUCAGCUGGACUUCCAACUACCUAUUAGAUUUAAUCUUACAUAUGUUAGUAAGGAUGGAGAUGAUAAAAGGAACCCUGUCAUCAUUCAUCGAGCCAUUUUGGGGUCAGUGGAAAGAAUGAUAGCCAUCCUCUCAGAAAACUAUGGGGGGAAAUGGUCAGGAAACCAAAACAAAGAAGACAAAAGCAGCACAACCUAAAACUAUCAUUUACCUUUUGGGGAAUGCGGUAGAAUUGAAGAGUUAUCUUUUUACCUAUUUCAAGUCCUUUAAAGAUCUAGUUGCAUCUGGUGACCCUGUGAGUACGGUUCAACCCCUUGCUGAACAGCCAUCCCUCCUUCAACCCUUGUUUUCACCUCCUGGGGGUGCCCAGUCGUCAUGGGGAGAAAAACACAUGAACCUGGUUCACAAAUGGCUCUGAACAAUACUUUGGCAAACCUAAUGCGGACAGCUACAGUACCACUUAGGGGAGAAGUGUGGAAGGGAAAUGCCCCCGAGUGCAGGAAUUUGAGUACAUCUCAUAGUCCUCUUUCCUUAGAAGGAAAAAUGACCAGACAUACAGAGUUACAGCCAUGCCUGGGCUCUGGUGACUGCUUUGGCCACAAGGUCAGAGACCUAGAAGUAAUUAGAUUGGAAAAUAGAUGACAAGUAGAUAUGAGGGGGAGGAACAUGGAUUAUCACUCAAAAUGGGCCAUGAAGGUGACGUCACCCACCCCAAACCCUCACUUUUGGGUGUUUUUAAAGAUUCAAAUACAGGAGGACCCAUUCUGUGGUUACCAUCAGCUUCAUUCUUCCCCCAGUGGCUGCUCCGUGGUUCAUGAACAAAGUGGCCACUCGGGGUUACGGGCUCAACAACAUGGGCCUCCCCAAGUUCCUUCUGGCUAUGCCUCUUCUGAGGCCUCAGUCUGCCAUCAGUAGGGUUCAGUCGUGGUCCCUCCUAUGGAACCAUAAUCCUGGGGAACAGUCAGCUUUCUGGGUCUUUCUCAUCAUGCAAGGGCCAGUGACUUGUCCUCACUGGAGAAGAUAUCAGUUCUGGAAUUUGCUUAGCUCUUCCUUCCUCCCAUGCAUCUGUCAACAGCACCGUGUAAAUACUUACUGAGCUUCAAUGGUCGGAAACACGAUAAUGCUUCUGACCAUGGAAGUAAUUUUUUUUUUUUUUUAGCAAAAGAAGGAAGGUGCUGAGCUGACAUUGUGGGAUUUGCUAGUAUUACUGUGCCCCCAGAAGCAACCGGCCUUACUGGCAGUCAAGACAUCAGGUGGCAGAUGAUCCAUCUUGUGAUGGCACAUCCAAUGGAGGUGGAAAUGCUGCAGCCCAGCAAUCACAUGUGACAUCUUUGUCUCCCAUCUCAUUUUGAAGAAAUUGAGAUCUGCUCAUGCAGUUUAGUUCUGAUUUAGUUCUGUGCUGCUGUCGCUGGGUACAGUCCCUGCAGCUCCCAUUGUUGACCCUGGGGUGCUCCCAUUGUUGACCCAAAGGUCUCCCCCAGAGCUCCAUGUCUCCGCACCACCCCUGCCAGAAUUGAUUCUAUGUAGUACCUCCCCCAGGUGCUACUCUGUCCCAAAUCCGUGCACCAUGCUUGUACAUGCCAGAUCAUGUGCCUGCACUCGAACAUGUCUAGGGCAGCUGGGGAAAGCAAAUUUCUCAGCAGGCACUACAAGGUGGGAAAUUCCCCCAGCAGAGGGUCUUUAAGACGUCCUGGGUAGCUAGAGUCUGUGUACAUCCCUGAAGUUUUAUUUGUGAUCUUAGAGAAAUGUACUUAGGUAUCAUGGGGUGUCCAAGUUGUUAAAAGUUACACAGAUAAGCCAAAAGAACAUGCACGCUACCUAAGUAUGAGUUAACACAUUGACAUCUCUUUCUGGUUGAUUCUGUUUUAAAUAGUUUAAUGUAGGUAAGAGAUGGUGGUGUCUCGCCCGAGAGUGGUGGCAGUGAAUGUGCUAGAAAAACUAAAAAGAACUAGUGGAAUCAGGAGAUGGAGUGGGAGACAGGAGAUGGUGCUGUGCACUCCAUGGGCUGUCCCUCACCGUGCAGACUUAGGGCACAGGCUGUGCAAUCCAUUGACCCAGAGUUCAGACACCUGCCAGAGUUUCGGUGGACACCUCCCCAAGAGCUCAAAAUAGAAAUUGUUAAAAUGUGGCUCCCCUGGGGAUGGGGUGAGGACAGAGCUCAAAAGGAAAUGCUUACUUUUCACUUUAUCCACUGUAUUCCUGUGUUUUAUUAUACAUUUUAUUACUUCUAUCAUAUGCGUUAUUUUGCUUUUGUAAUUUAAGAAUAAAUAUCUAAAUGUUCAUAAGGUGCCACCAGGUAGUAGUUCCCACGGCAUUUCCUUUCACCUUUCAGACAAAGUACUGAUGAAGAAAUAUUUCCCACAUUAAACAUUGCUUAUACCCAACUUCCCAUCUUUUUUUUUUUUAAUUUCAUUUUGAGAUAAUUGUACAUUCACAUGUAGUGGUAAGAAAUCAUCGAGAAAGGUCCAGCAUACUCUUCACUCACUUUUCCUCAAUGGCAGCAUCUUACAAAACUCUAUACAAUAUCAUGACCAGAAAAUUUUUGAUACAAUCUGCCAACCUUAUUUAGGUCUCACCAGUUCACAUGCACUCGUGUGUAUGUGUGUGUUGAGUUCUAUAAAAUUUGAUCACCUGUGUACCCACCAUCAGUUAAGAUAGAGGACAGUUCUGUUACUUAUGAGGACUCCUUGUGCUACCAUUUUAUUGUCACACACCUCCUACCCCACCCCCAUCAUCCUCCUCUGACAGCCACUCAUCUGUUCUCCAUCUCCAUAAUUUUGUCAUUUCAAGAAUGUUACAUAAAUGGAAUCACACGCUGUACAAUUGUGCGGGAUUGGCUUUAAUCACUCGGAAUUCCACUGAGAUCCGUCCAACUCGUUUCAAGUCUCAGUGGUCGGUCCCCUUUUAUUGCUGAUAGUGUUCCAUGGUGUGGAUGCACCAGUUUGAUCAUUCAUCCAUUGAAAGACAUUUGGAGUGUUUCCAGUUUGGGGCUAUUAUAAAUAAAGCUGCUAUGAACAUUAGUGGGAAGGUUUCUUUGUGAACAUGUUUUCAUUUCUCUGGGGUAAAUACCCAGGAAUGCAGUUGCCCAGUGGUGUGACCCAGCAGCUGACCUGUUCUUCCCUCCCUUUCCUCCCGUAAUUCCCAGCUUCCUCUUUUGUCUGCCCUGUUGCUUUUUAGCUCUCAAUAUGGUUUGGUUUACUUCCACACCACUCUGCUGAAUCUGCUUUCUUGUGAAGUCUUACUUUAAAAAAAUCUUCGGCUAUAUUUUAAAUCACAUAAUACAUGAUCAUCAUCAGAUUCUGAAAAUACAUAUUUUAUAUAUUUUUCAGGCCUUUCUGGCUCUCUCCUCGUCAGGUAAUGGUCAUCCCUGUGGGGCCAACUUGUGAAAAAUACGCACUUCAGGUGUCCAGUACAUUUUUUGAAGAAGG